rnacentral:misc_RNA from 1 species
UCUUCUUCAGAAAGGCGAAGCUCAAUGAUACGUUUCCAUGCAUGAGCCGCUUUCCUCAAAGUGUUUUUAAACAAUUCCUUCCUGCUUAGCAUUGCUCUGUUAUCCUUUCGGAAAACCGGAUCGCUGGCGACGAGACGAGCCAUGCGAUCAGAGACAUCGAAGGUGUGGCGGGAACCAGCCCAGACGAUCUUCAUCUCGUCGACAUCGAACUGAGCCCUGUUCCUCUCGGGAGCCAAGUGAUCGACGCCCUCCAUUGUCAGUCAACGGAAUCCAACAACCCUUGAUAUUGUAGCUGAAAAGAUUG